AAUAUGGGGUCGUUGAUAGCCUAAAGUGUUCUUCAACAGAGAACCCUGACAGAGAAAAAAGAGAUGAGGCAGAGAGAGAUGAGAGAUUGCAGGAGGAAGAAUAGACCGGUCUAAGUUCGUGCCAUCGUCACCAGUCUGAGUUCGUCCAUCGUCAUUGAUCUGAGUUCGUCUCCACCGCGGGUUCAAUGUAAACCCGAGCGGUCUUGUAGCCUCUGCUCCGAUGCACCGCUCCAUCUUCAGCACAGGGGAACUUACCCCGCUUCAAGACCCCACUCCCAUAGCCCGUUCCAGAUGCACUAACCGCUCCAACAACGCUGAGAUUGCUCGAGCUCGGACUCCAUCUUCUUCGUCUCAAGGUGAGAUUCUCCGGCUCGUCUUAGCUCUUUGCUCGUGGUCGCCAUCCUCACCAUCGCAGCCAAGCUUCUCCGCCACGGAUCAGUCUUCAUCUCCGUCCCUUUGCUCCACCACGAAGCUCCUUCGCCGCGACUCCUCUGUGAAUCGACUACAUCUCCGCCGCCAUCUUCAUCCAUCGUGUUCACGCCGUGACUGGGCUUUACCUCUCGCGUCAUCGGCAUCAGAAUCGUCGGGAUCGGAGAUGAAGCUUUCGUGAAACACCAAUGGCCAUUUUUGGCUAAUUUGCAAUUUUAGUCCCUGAACUUUUUGAAACUUUGUUUCUGACCCCGGAACUUUGGAAAUUUCAUAUAAGUCCUCGCGAAUUGACCCAAAA